GAUGAACGCGGCGGCGUGCUUAACACAUGCAAGUCGAACGAAGCUGUUAAAAGGAAGUCUUGGAUGGAAUUUUAACAGACUUAGUGGCGGACGGGUGAGUAACGCGUGGAUAACCUGCCUUAUACAGGGGGAUAACGGAGAGAAAUUUCCGCUAAGACCGCAUAAGACCACAGCACCGCAUGGUGCAGGGGUAAAAUAUUAAUAGGUAUAAGAUGGAUCCGCGUCCGAUUAGCUGGUUGGUGAGGUAGAGGCUCACCAAGGCGACGAUCGGUAGCCGGCCUGAGAGGGUGAACGGCCACAUUGGGACUGAGACACGGCCCAAACUCCUACGGGAGGCAGCAGUGGGGAAUAUUGGACAAUGGGGGAAACCCUGAUCCAGCGACGCCGCGUGAGUGAAGAAGUAUUUCGGUAUGUAAAGCUCUAUCAGC
rnacentral:rRNA from 1 species